rnacentral:tRNA from 1 species
CCGCUCUUGGUCUAGUUGGUUAUGGCCCUCGGCUGUAAAUGUUGAAUUUGUAUUUCUUGGGAAAAUGAAGUAUUAAAGAUACCGAGUGGUCCCCGGUUCGAUUCCGGGAGAGCGGA